UUUGUUUUUUUUUUUUUUUUUUUGCUUUAAGUGUGUCGGAUGUCAAUUUUGGCUUUUGAAACGACAUCGACAGUAGCAAGCAAAGCUCUUAGAAGGCUUGUGACGCCGAGAAGAAGCUAAAAAUUGUUCCAAGUCAAAAGCUAAACCAUAUGAAUCAGGCUUGUCUAGUGCUAAGAAGAUGUUUGUUGAUGGCGGCAUGGCUUUUUGGCGGAAAGAAAAGGGUAGUUUAAUGAAGUCGUGAUGCAGGGCUCAACUUCUACGAAGCUUGUUCUUUCUGGUUCUUUAUUAUUUAUUAUAUUUUUUGUGCAACAGAAACAACAAUAACGAAUGCAGGCGUGUGCCUUGUUCCGAGCACAAGGCUAAAAAGGCGUGCCUUUUUUAUUUCUACAUUAGAGCAGCACUUCUAUUGGCAAAAAGCACUACCACACAACUCAAAAUUUGUCAAUCUAGAAGUUUUCAAAAUUAGCAUCGCUAAUGAUAACUAGUCACCAAAAUCUUAUCAAACUAACAUACUCAGAAUCGCAAACCUCCCAUAUUUCCAUUUUCAACAAUAAUACUCAUUAUCUUUUUCAAAGAAAAAAAAAGAAGUUGCUUCUACACCUAUUUUAAGAUCAAUGCCAAUCUAACUUGAGAACUAA
rnacentral:misc_RNA from 1 species